GAUGAACGCUAGCGACAGGCCUAACACAUGCAAGUCGAGGGGCAGCACAGAGGUAGCUUGCUACUUUGGGUGGCGACCGGCGCACGGGUGCGUAACAGGUGUGCAAUCUGUCCAUAAUCGGGGAAUAGCCCAGCGAAAGUUGGAUUAAUGCUCCAUGUGAGUAAGAGAGGCAUCUCUUUUAUUUGAAACGCAAGGAUUAUGGGUGAGCACGCUUCUGAUUAGGUAGUUGGUGAGGUAACGGCUCACCAAGCCGACGAUCAGUAGGGGUUCUGAGAGGAAGGUCCCCCACAUUGGAACUGAGACACGGUCCAAACUCCUACGGGAGGCAGCAGUGAGGAAUAUUGGUCAAUGGACGGAAGUCUGAACCAGCCAAGUCGCGUGAAGGAUGAAGGUUCUAUGGAUUGUAAACUUCUUUGUCUGAGGGUAAAAAGCGGACGUGUCCGUUCUUGCAAGUAUCAGACGAAUAAGCAUCGGCUAACUCCGUG
rnacentral:rRNA from 1 species